UUUUAUUCCUUUUCUUCUUUCUUCCAAAGCAAACAAUUCCCAAACCUUCUUUCCUGUGCUUUUAUCUCUUUUUCCCUUCUGCUGCAAAUCCCGACGUAAGUUGAUACUCUUCCUUUUCCUGAAACACCUUGAGUAUCACCACAGUAAGGGAUAAAGGAAAAGCCAAAUAUCCAACCCCAAUUUCAAUAUAAUACUGGUUAAGCCAACCCUCCCAUAAACAAAAAAAGAAAAGAACCAGUUAAAGAUACAUGCAUAUUCUCUUAGCUUUUCUGAUUCUUAAAAGUUAUCUGAGAAUAAAGCAGAUUCGGUAACUAAUUAAUUGAAAAUAAUCGAUAAAGAAAAAAUUAUCACCUCACAGGAAGAGCCCCGUCAACAAUAGUAUUAGAAGUGGUCAGAAGCAAAUUUUUUAACCUGGCUAAAAUUUAGAUAAUCCAGCAAGGAGAUGCAGCAUAAGCUGAUAUCAUAAAGAGCAUUCCGCGAAUAAGAAGGAAAUGCAAUUACUAUAAUGAAUUAUAAGGCAUCGAAUCCCUCGUGUUAGGAGGAAUUGAGAUACAGAGAUAUCGCAGAAAUAUGAAAAAUUGUUGCUCGUGAAAAGAUAUUUUUAAACUAGUUGGCAAUAGUUAGGAGGGAUGCACUAGCAGUACUAAUCAAUAAUGUCAAACUUUUCGUUCCGAGUUGCAAAUUAUUAGCGUAGAAUUUGAAACAAAUAUGAUUGAUGUAUAUCUCAUGAGACACGAUCUCAAAUUAGUAAUCGAUCUAUUUAUGUAACAUCACAACUUUUUCAAUAAACUCUCUUUCUCUCUCUCUCUCAUGCUUGAUUGUCAACAUGAAGACAUCAUUGAUCAAAUUAUUGAUAAACUUUAAACUCUUUUUAUCUUUACAUCCACAUCAAAUAUUAAGGGCUGAAGUUUGUCAGCAUUGUUCUUUAAUCUCAUCAUAACAGCUUUUUUCCAGUACACUAACCUUUUAUUGCUCAGUUGACAAUCUCAUUUAAUAACCAGUGGACGGUUUCAAAGUUUCUUGAGGGACACAAUAUUUUAUUGCUAAAAACUGCAAAUCUAAUAUGUUUCGUUGGGGUAACUGCGUGAUGCAUGAAGUCCUUUUCCAUUGACAAUCAAGAUCAAUACAGACAUCAAGCAACUAACUCAUUCAAUAUAAAUUUAUAUAAUUAGUUUUUAGAACCAACAUCUUUAGGACAUUUUUGUUGCAUUGAAUUUCAGAUUGCAGCGGAGGAUUCACUUGUACUAUAUGAAAUCGGGAAAGAAGAUUCUCCAAUGUGAUCAAUUUAGUUGAACUUGCAGUUCUGAGACUAGAAGCUAUAUGUUGAAGAAACAUUCAGUGGCAUCUCAUCCAGUCAUCAAUUUUGGCCCGCGAAAAUUAAUUCAAAAAAACUGAUCCAGAAUCUUCUUGAAUGCAUGCCUAUAAAAA
rnacentral:lncRNA from 1 species